UGGUCUAAAAUAAUGUCUUUUUGUGUUGCAGAUCUCCUACCGAUAUCUUAUUAUUGCUCUCGGAAUCCAGCUGAACUAUGAGAAGAUUAAAGGCCUACCUGAAGGUUUUGCUCAUCCCAAAAUAGGGUCGAAUUAUUCAGUUAAGACUGUAGAGAAGACAUGGAAAGCUCUGCAGGACUUCAAGGAGGGCAAUGCCGUCUUCACCUUCCCAAAUACUCCAGUGAAGUGUGCUGGAGCCCCUCAGAAGAUCAUGUAUUUAUCAGAAGCCUACUUCAGGAAGACAGGGAAGCGAUCCAAGGCCAAUAUCAUUUUCAAUACUUCUCUUGGAGCCAUUUUUGGGGUUAAGAAGUAUGCAGAUGCCCUGCAGGAGAUCAUCCGGGAGCGGAACCUCACUGUUAACUACAAGCAAAACCUCACUGAAGUCCGAGCCGAUAAACAAGAGGCUGUAUUUGAGAACCUGGACAAACCUGGAGAGACCCAAGUGAUUUCAGUGAGUAGUGAGGCUAACCU